AUACUUACCUGGAUGUGGUAAAUGGCCAAUCAAUAAGAUGCAUGUCUAGGGUUGGUGACUUCCAUUGCAUUUUGGAGGGAUGCCAGCCUAAGGUCGAUCCAAAUGGUCAAGCCUACGUUAUAAUUUGUAGUAGUGGAGGCCUGCGUUCGCGCGAUUAUUCG
rnacentral:snRNA from 1 species